CAGAGUUCACAGGUACGACAGUCUAACCAGAGUUCACAGGUACGACCCAGAGUUCACAGGUACGACAGUCUGACCAGAGUUCACAGGUACGACAGUCUGACCAGAGUUCACAGGUACGACAGUCUGACCAGAGUUCGCAGGUACGACAGUCUAACCAGAGUUCACAGGUACGACAGUCUGACCAGAGUUCACAGGUACGACCCAGAGUUCACAGGUACGACAGUCUGACCAGAGUUCACAGGUACGACAGUCUAACCAGAGUUCACAGGUACGACCCAGAGUUCACAGGUACGACAGUCUAACCAG